GGAGGAGUUCCAGAGCGGUCGAAUGGGACGGUCUCGAAAAUCGUUGUGGGGGUGACUCCACCCAGGGUUCGAAUCCCUGCUCCUCCGCCA
rnacentral:tRNA from 1 species